AGUGAACAUUUCGUAUAAAAAAAUACGUUUUUUUUGAAUAAACUUCAGUUUUCUGGGAAUAACAUUAUCCAAAUAAAGGAGAUUGUUUAUUAAAAAAAAAGGGGGGAGGAGGGGCAGGAGGAAAGUGGAGCCUGCAGAGUAAAUAUUAUUUAGAGACAUCAGGAUCAAUAGUCCCAUUGUGUGUUGUGCAGAUUUGUCAUAAUGUCUUCUGUCUUAAGGCCAUGACUUAGAAAAUUCUCUGCAGAGGAAGCUAAAUGACAUAAUCUGCCUCAUAAAUAACAGCUGAUGCUGUGGCAGCAUCAUACUGAACUUUAACAAGAAACUGCCCUUCUUUCCUUAAAAAGGGGAUAUGAUUAUAUGAGGAUUUUGAAAAUGUGCAAAUAGCUUGAAAUUUUCCUACUUCAGACCUUGAAAGAUUUGAUAUCUGGUUUGAGCUCUGCUUCUUGGUUCCAUAUUUAUCUGAUACUUAUCUUAGUGUUUCAAUUGACUCUGGGGUUAUUUUUUAUCCUUAUUUCUGCUUCAGUGGCUGAGAGCUUGGUUAGUCAGCUACUUCUACAGGAGGACUUUUCUUACACAAUUCACCAAUUCUUUGGUGUGUGAAGGUUCUGUAAGCAAUGGUAAAUAGCUGUGGGUUGCUUUAAAUGCAAAAAACACAGGUAAAAAUGGUAACCUGUUAGCAUUCAUCAAAUUCUUGGAACCAAAAAAUAAGUUAGCAACUGCAAAAUGCAUAUGAGAAACUCAAAUCUGUAUUUAGUAUUUUUGAACUUUUGGUCUCUGUAUUUCUUUGGUGCGGUUGGAAUUGGGCAAUGAAGUUUAUCAGGCUUAGGUGAGGGCUGCAGUGUACCAGUGUUGCCUCAGCAUUCUGGGCAGGAGGUGGCCAGUUCCUGUGACAGAGCACAGAGGCACAUGUCACACACUCGAGCUGCUGGUGGGAGUGUGAGCUGCAGGAACAUUUGGCAGAUGUGUAGGACAUGCAGCAGGCAGGCUGGAAGACCUUUGGACUUAACUGAGGCAAUUUUCUUGUGGUUCAUGGAUUUGUCUACCCAGACUAUUGAGCUCUUUAAUGAAAUGCUGUUUGUUCCUUCAGUAAUAGCAGGAUUAUACAGCUGCUGUUGUGUGACCAUACCAUAGCAUGUUGAACUUUGAAAGAGAUUAAAUCCACAGGAAUAGGAGCUGCAAAGCAGUGACUCCAAUCUGAUGUGCCAGAUGGAAGCUCUCAAGAGGCAAGGAGACUGAAAACCUGCACAGGGCAGUAGCAGCAUCAUUGUUACUUCUUAAUCAAAUGUAGAGUUGCUGUUUAGUGUGUAACUGCCCAGCCAAAAUGUCAAGUGUGGUCUCAGUUUCAGCUUUUUUUUCCACUUGUUUGUGAAAUUUGUUUUCAUGCUUAAGUUUAAUCAGAUUUGUCACAAGAAUGCUUUAGGUGUAAUUGUCCUCUAAUAUCAACUAAAAAUGUGACCUCAACACGAAUACUGAAAACCAGUAGAAAUACUAUUAUGGGGUUCUUAAUAUGUAAUUUAAAAGGAAAUAUUUUGAUUCAUUCUGCUUGCUGGAGUGUAGCAUUUAUUUUUAUAAGUUGCUUUUUAAAGAAUGCUUUUUGACUUAAGUAUAAUAAAAUGACAACACUAUUAAGCCUUUGAAAAUGG
ensembl:lncRNA